rnacentral:rRNA from 1 species
UAUCUCUGUAGAGUCUGCAUAUCAAUAAGCGGAGGAAAAGAAACUAACUAGGAUUCCCUCAGUAACGGCGAGUGAAGCGGGAAGAGCUCAAAUUUGAAAUCUUCAAGGUUCUACCUUGACGAAUUGUAGUUUAAAGAAGUGUUUUCUGUUGGAGUUUUGGUAAAAGUUCUUUGGAAUAGGACAUCAUAGAGGGUGAGAAUCCCGUAUUUGACCAUUAUUUCCAGCUUUGUGAUACACUUUCAAAGAGUCGGAUUGUUUGGGAAUGCAGUCCAAAAUGGGUGGUAAAUUUCAUCUAAAGCUAAAUAUUGGCGAGAGACCGAUAGCGAACAAGUACCGUGAGGGAAAGAUGAAAAGAACUUUGAAAAGAGAGUUAAACAGUACGUGAAAUUGUCAAAAGGGAAGCGUUUGACACCAGUGUUGUUUUUCCGAAAAUCAAUUACGAAUGUUUUAUUUUUGAGGAGUUAUGACUUCAUCGGCUUGCUCCUUUCUUUAUGAAACUUUCUUAAUGCACUUUUCGGUUAACAAGUCAACAUCAAUUUCUUUUGUUGUAAAAGGGUAUGAGGAAGGUGGCUUCCUUUUCGGAGAAAGUGUUUAUAGCCUUGUACCUCUGCAAUCGGAGAGAUUGAGGUCUGCAGCGUAGAUCCUUCGGGGUUAGAUACAUUUGUGCUAAGUUAUAGCUUUUCAUAGACAACUUGUUGACUAUAGUUUAGUCUUGUAGCUUACUCGCUUAUGCUAUUUUACCUACGCUUAGGAUGUUGACGCAUGAGAUAUACGC